rnacentral:lncRNA from 1 species
GAAUUAUUGUAGCAUAAAAUUCACCUAGGAUUUGAAAAAUCAUUUCUAGCUCUUAAAAAUUUUAAAUGAUGUGGUUUGACAUUUUAGGAAAUAAAUGUGAUGAGAAGAACUUUGAAGAUCAGAUCAAACAUUCUGGAAGCAAUGUAAGGUAAUUGUACUCACAAGAGGAAUCCUUGAGGGAAUCUGAGAAUGCCAUAUAAUUUUUAAAACCAAUGCAAGAAAUUUGCACAACUUUAAAUGUAUUUAUUCUUAUAAGAUUUUUUACCAGAAAUAUAUACUUCACUGGGACUGGGGUUGUGGCUCAGUGGUAGAGCAUGCUUGAGGCACUGGGUUCUCUUCUCAGCACCACAUUUAAAUCAAUAAAGUCUAUUGACAACUGAAAUAAAUUAUAUAAUUUAACUGUAAAAGAUAUUCAGUCUUUUCAAAGUGCUUGACUUGCAGAAAGUAUUAUGAAAUUGCAUAUGUGAAUAUCACUAUUUGGAUAAUAACCAUAGGCAUGCUGUAUUGCAAAGCAUUGUUUCCUCUCAAUCUUUUUGUUCUGGCAAUUUGAACAAGUUUGAAUAACCUAGGCUUUACCUCAUGUUGGUAGUAACAUUAGCCUAGGACCUUAAAUAAAUACAACAUCAUGAAUUAAUCAAGUAUUAUUAAUGUGCUGGUCAUUCUUCAAAGAAGUCUUAUGCUAAACUUCAAAGGCAAAGAACAGUGUGGGGAAAGUUUCAAUGAGACUCCAAUUCUUAAGCAAAGAAAAAUUUUAAUAGAGUAAAUUCAUGUGACUGCAUUAUGUGUGCCAAAGACUUCAUAUGCCCUUCAUUCCUUCAUAGGCAGAUCACAUCUCAGUAUGGACACGAACGCUACAAGCAUGAAGAAUGAGAAGAGAAGCCAUGUGAAUUGAAACAAUACAGGGAAUCUCUGGUUUCUCUCAAAAGUGUUCACACACAAAUGUUAACACAAACUGGAGAUGGACCCUAUGAAAAUACAGUAUGUGGGAAAGUCAUCAGUUGUUCCAAUGACAUUCAAAGGCAUGAAGAUUCUCAUACUGGGUGGCAACCUGAUGAAUGUCAACAAUGUGAUGAAGUCUCUUCUCCCACAGGUGUUCAAAGACACACAAGAACACAUAGUGGAUGUAAACCUUUUCAAUGUGAGGUAUGUGGGAAAGCCUUUCAUUCCCCCACUUUAUAUAGAAAACAUGAAAGAACUCAUUCUGGAGAGAAAUCCCAUGAAUGUAAAGAAGGUGGUAAAACCUUGGUUUCACCCACAAGUCUUCACAGUCACAUGAUCACACACACUGGAAAAGUACUUUUUAAAUGUAACGUAUGUGGGACAGACUUUGCUUACCGAAGUUUAUUUAGAAUACAUCAGAGGAAACAUACUAGAGAGAAACCCUAUGAAUGUCAACAAUGUGGAAAAGCCUACACUACUUCAUCUUACCUUCAGAUACAUGAACAAAUCCAUAAUGGAGAGAAUCCCAAUGAAUGCCAACAAUGUGGAAAAGUCUUCACUACUUCUUUUUCCCUUCACAGACAUGAACGAACACAUACUGGAGAGAAGCCCUAUGAGUGUAAGCAGUGUGGCAAAGCCUUUGCUCAGUCCUCUAACCUUCACUCACAUGAAAAAACUCAUACAGGAGAGAAGCCCUAUGCAUGUCAACAAUGUGGGAAAGCCUUCAGUACUUCUUCCUACCUUCAGAUACAUGAGCAGACUCAUACUGGGGAGAAGCCCUAUGAAUGUAAGCAGUGUGGCAAAGCUUUUACUCAGUCCUCUAGCCUUCACUCACAUAAAAAAAAAAAACUCAUACAAAAAAGAAACCCUAUGAAUGUCAACAAUGUGGGAAAGCCUGCACUACUUUGUCUUACCUUCAGAUACAUGAACAAAUCCAUAUUGGAGAGAAGCCCAAUGAAUGUCAACAAUGUGGAAAAGUCUUCACUACUUCUUUUUCCCUCUGCAGACAUGAAUGGACUCAGAGAGGAGAGAAGCCCUAUCAAUGUCAACAAUGUGAUAAAGUCUACACUACUGCCUUUUACCUUCACAUACAUGAACAAACACAUUCUGGAGUGAAGCCCUAUGAGUGUAUGCAGUGUGGAAAAGCCUUUGCUGAAUCUUCUCAGCUUCACCAACAUCAACAAACUCAUACUGGGGAGAAGCCCUCUGAAUGUCAACAAUGUGGAAAAGCCUUUGCUAAAUCCAGUCACCUUAAGAGACAUGGAAGAACACAUACUGGAGAGAAGCCCUAUGAAUGUAAGCAGUGUGGCAAAGCCUUCGCUCAAUCCCAUCAUCUUCACAGACAUGAAAAAAAGCAUAUUGGAGAGAAGCCUUAUGAAUAUCAACAAUGUGGAGAACGCCUUGACACAUCCAGUGAACCUCACAUACAUGGAAGAAUUCAUGCAGAAGAGAAACCUAAUGAAUACCAACAAUGUGGAAAAGUCUUCAUUUCUUCCUUUUUCCUUCACAGACAUGAAGGGACUCACACUCAAGAGAAACCCUAUGAAUGUAAGCAGUAUCACAUAGCUUUCACUCAGUCCUCUCAUCUUUGCUCACAUGAACGAACUCAUACUGGAGAGAAGCCCUAUGAAUGUCAACAAUGGGGAAAAACCUUUCUUAUAUCCCAUCAGCUUCACUUACAUGAACAAACUCAUAUUGCAAAGAAAUUGUGCUGAUGAAAACAAUUAUCAAAGUCUUCUGUUAUCACUGUUCUUCUCAUCAACAAGUUGGAAGUAUACUGGAGAAAAAUUCUUUAAAUGUGAAAUGUGGUGAAUCAAUAUUUCUUGUCACCUUCAAACACAAAAAAAGGCUCACUCUGCUGAAUACUGUACUGGGGAUUGUACUGGAGUUUUGGUCUGGUGGCACUCUACCACUGAGACACAUGCUCAUUCUUUUUUUAUAUUUUUAAUUUUGAGACAGGGACUUGCUGAGUUCCUUAGGGUCUUCCUAAAAUGCUGAGGCUGGCCUCAAACUUGUGAUCCUUCAGCCUCAGCCUCCCGGUCUCUGGGAUUAAAGGCAUACAUCACCACAACUGUUUGAAUGUGAAAAAAUAUGUUGUCUUCAAAACCAUUUCACUCGCUGGAAAACAAACACUCUGAAUGGGGGCGAUUUGCUACAGUUUAUCAGCUUCAUGUUCCAGACCUAUUUUUCUUCUCUUUUAUGAAAAUACUCGUGGAGAGAAGCCCUGUGACUGUGAAAAAUGUGGGAAAUCUUUUAAUUUUUGCAGUUUAUUCUGAGUACUAGAAAGAUUAUUUUGGAAAGAUUCCUGCCAAAAUGAAUAAAUCCUAUGCAAGUAAGAAAUACAAAGGGUUCACUUGUUUUAGUUUUGUUCAGUUGUAUUAAAAACAAACAAACAAACAAAAAAAAAAACUUUAGAAAAUCCUGUGGAGGGCUGGGGAUGUGGCUCAAGUGGUAGCGCACUCGCCUGGCAUGCAUGCAACCCGGGUUCAAUCCUCAGCACCACAUACAAACAAAGAUGUUGUGUCCGCCGAAAACUAAAAAUAAAUAUUAAAAAAGAAAGAAAAUCC